rnacentral:rRNA from 1 species
AUGCAGCUCAAAAUGGGUGGUAAAUGCCAUCUAAAGCUAAAUAUUGGCGAGAGACCGAUAGCGAACAAGUACCGUGAGGGAAAGAUGAAAAGAACUUUGGAAAGAGAGUUAAACAGUACGUGAAAUUGCUGAAAGGGAAACGCUUGAAGUCAGUCGCGUCGGCUGGAAAUCAGCCUUGCUUUUGCUUGGUGUACUUUCUGGUUGAUGGGUCAGCAUCAAUUUUGACCACUGGAUAAAGUCUUUGGGAAUGUGGCAUCUUUGGAUGUGUUAUAGCCCAUUGUCGCAUGCAGUGGUUGGGAUUGAGGAACUCAGCACGCCGCAAGGCCGGGUUUCGACCACGUUUCGUGCUUAGGAUGCUGGCAUAAUGGCUUUAAUCGACCCGUCUUGAAACACGGACCAAGGAGUCUAACAUGCCUGCGAGUGUUUGGGUGGAAAACCCAUGCGCGUAAUGAAAGUGAAAGUUGAGAUCCCUGUAAGAGGGGAGCAUUGACGCCCGGACCAGACCUUCUGAGACGGAUCCGCGGUAGAGCAUGUAUGUUGGGACCCGAAAGAUGGUGAACUAUGCCUGAAUAGGGUGAAGCCAGAGGAAACUCUGGUGGAGGCUCGUAGCGAUUCUGACGUGCAAAUCGAUCGUCAAAUUUGGGUAUAGGGGCG